GUCUGGGUGGCUCAGUCAGUUAAGCGUCUGACUUCAGCUCAGGUCAUGAUCUUGCAAUUUGUGGGUUCGAGCCCCACUUUAGGCU
rnacentral:tRNA from 1 species